rnacentral:rRNA from 1 species
AGAGUUUGAUCCUGGCUCAGGAUGAACGCUAGCGGCAGGCCUAAUACAUGCAAGUCGGACGGGAUUGAGGAGCUUGCUCUUCAUGAGAGUGGCGCACGGGUGCGUAACACGUAUGUAACCUACCUUUAUCAGGGGGAUAGCCUCUCGAAAGAGAGAUUAAGCCCGCAUAACAUGGAGAUGCAGCAUUGCAAUUCCAUCAAAUAUUUAUAGGAUAAAGAUGGGCAUGCGGAACAUUAGCUAGUUGGUAAGGUAACGGCUUACCAAGGCUACGAUGUUUAGGGGAUCUGAGAGGAUGACCCCCCACACUGGAACUGAAACACGGUCCAGACUCCUACGGGAGGCAGCAGUGGGGAAUCUUGCGCAAUGGGGGAAACCCUGACGCAGCAACGCCGCGUGGAGGAUGAAGUCCUUCGGGACGUAAACUCCUUUCGAUCGGGACG